AGGCACCGCCAGGCUCCGGGUUACUGAUCGGAAGGGUGUGGUUCAGUCCCCGGCACUGCCAGGCUCUGGGUUACUGAUCAGAAGGGUGGGGUUCAGUUCCCAGCACUGCCAGGCUCUGGGUUACUGAUCGGAAUGGCGGGGUUCGGUCCCCGGCACUGCCAGGCUCUGGGUUACUGAUCAGAAGGGUGGGGUUCAGUUCCCAGCACUGCCAGGCUGUGGGUCACUGAUCGGAAGUUCGGGGUUCAAACCCCAGCACUGCCAGUCUUUGGGUUACUGAUCAGAAGGUCGGGGUUUCAGUCCGCAGCAUUGCCAAACUGCCACUGUUGUGCCCUCCAGGGGCGCUGUACCCUGCGCUGGACCCUGCCCUCAGACCCCCGCUUCCUGACAUGCUGGGGUAUGCGAAGAAACAAUUUCAUUGUGCUGUAAUGUAUAUGUGAUUAAUCAUUAUAGUGAUUACAAUAUAUUGUUCAGCUCUUGUAUGUGUACAGGGCCCAUGGUGUGUCCUGCGCCGUGCCGUGUGUCACAGUGUAAUCCGGUUUACGGCUGCAAGUACAAGUGCUACUACACAAGUGUGUGUGAAGGCUUGAUGAUGGGUAGUCACAUGAAAUAAAACAUCAGUGCAUCUGUUUUCAGGGGUAUUUAGAGCAGCUGUCUUCUCAGCCUAGACACACACACACACACACACACACACACACACACACACACACACAGUGGUCAUGCUGGAAGGUAUACAGCAGUUGUGCCCUGGUGAAUUCUCUCUGUGUGACAGAUGAGGACAGAGUUCCAGCUCUGUUCAGUAUAUUGUGUGUUUUUUGUGCAUGACUUUCUCCCCUAUGCUCGUUUAGUUUAAUUACUGGGAUAGUGAGCUGUGUAAUGACCGUCUCAUCGCUGACCAGCUACUUCCUGUGUUUGCUACUUUUGUAGCCCUCCCUCUAUUUUCCUUGUUGUUGAGUCGAGAUGUUGUGAAUCUCAUCAGACCUCUAAAAUGCUGCAGAGGUUUACGAUCUUAUUAACUCUGUGUGUGUGUGCAUACAUGGAGUGUUUGCAUUUCUGUUUGUCUGUGGGGUUUGAACUGUUUUGAAUUGGAAUGCAUAUGUGGAAAUUAACAAGUAUUUGUGUGUGUGUGUGUGUAUGGGGGAAAAACACAUUGUUUAUCUAUACAGCUGUGUGUGAGCAUAGCAUUUAGUGUGUAUGUGUGAAUGUGCGUUUUGAGCAGUAUUUUCUCUCUCUCUCGCUCUCUCACGCUCUCUCUCCUCUCUCUGAAGCGAGUGCUGUAAUUGAUAUGCCACAAGCAAUAAAUCAGCAGCCGGCCGUGCCACCACACCCCAUUAUCUAAGGAGACAGGUUUAGCGGCCUGUCCAGGGGCUCCGUCUGGGUGUAUGAGGAGUGUGUGUGUGUGUGUGUGUGUUGGGAGGUGUGGUUCAAGUGCCUGUGAGAGUACCUGGAUGUUGAGUCAGGGUGACGUCCUUAGGGUCAAACAAAUGGAGAAGGGAAAGGAGGCAAAAUAAAAUCAUUCCCUGCCAAAUCUCACCAUUUCCCAUACCCAGUCCUCCGUCCUACAACUUGUGCCCUUGUCAUCUAUUAUCUUUUCUUCUUUUCAUCAGCCACUUCCCACGCCCCCCCCCCCCCCCCCCACUACCUCUCUGCUCUGUUUAAAAAUAAAUAAAUAAAUAAAAAUCAUGUGUUUUUGACUCCCAUCUAGACUUGCGAAUAAAAUUGCAAAUAAAAUGUGCUUAAAAAAAGGGAGGAAGGAAAUUGAAAUUUGGCGAGUCGGACGAAGCAAGAAUGCUUUUAUGGAAAUUGGAGAAGGAGAUAUUUUUUUUUUUUCCUUUUUUUUUAUUUUUUUAUCUAGGGAAGAGAAUUGACCAUUUUCCCAGCUGUCAGUCAUUUUCCAGGCACUGUAGCAUAGCCCAGGUUUGAUAACUACCCCGAAUCCGUUUCUCUCUGCACACCAUUGUGCACUAACUCUGCUCGCUAUAAAUGCUUGUGUGUGUGUUGGGCUCGAGCGUUGAUAGCAUUUCGCCCAUUACUGUGCCAGAUAACAACGUGAGUGCGCAGAUGCAAUUUGUCGCGAAAUUUACGGUCUGCUACGUCAAGACUGAUCCUCUCAAAUGAAGAGAAAUGAGUGUUGAGACAAUCUCCUACAGGUUUCUGCCUCUCCCCAUUCUCUCUCUCUCUCUUUCUCUCGCUCGCUCACUCGCAAAUGGCAUGCCUAAAUGAGCUUGCUGUCUCUGUGCGCUACUGUUGUUUUUAAAUUGACAUCUGUUCUCAGUGCAUGAUGUGAUUUGUACAGUUGAGAGCAAAAUUAGUUUUUGGUUUUUUUUUUGUUUGUUUUUUUAUCUUUCUUUUU
ensembl:lncRNA